rnacentral:rRNA from 1 species
UACGUAGGAUGCGAGCGUUGUCCGGAAUCACUGGGUGUAAAGGGAGCGCAGGCGGGUUGGUAAGUCAGUGGUGAAAUUCUCAGGCUUAACCUGGGGACUGCCACUGAUACUGCCGAUCUUGAGUGCAGAAGAGGUUGAUGGAAUUCUUGGUGUAGCGGUGAAAUGCGUAGAUAUCAAGAAGAACACCGAUGGCGAAGGCAUUCAACUGGUCUGUUACUGACGCUCAUGCUCGAAAGCGUGGGGAUCAAACAGG